UAGGGAAUCUUCGGCAAUGGACGAAAGUCUGACCGAGCAACGCCGCGUGAGUGAAGAAGGUUUUCGGAUCGUAAAACUCUGUUGUUAGAGAAGAACAAGGACGUUAGUAACUGAACGUCCCCUGACGGUAUCUAACCAGAAAGCCACGGCUAACUACGUGCCAGCAGCCGCGGUAAUACGUAGGUGGCAAGCGUUGUCCGGAUUUAUUGGGCGUAAAGCGAGCGCAGGCGGUUUCUUCAGUCUGAUGUGAAAGCCCCCGGCUCAACCGGGGAGGGUCAUUGGAAACUGGGAGACUUGAGUGCAGAAGAGGAGGGUGGAAUUCCAUGUGUAGCGGUGAAAUGCGUAGAUAUAUGGAGGAACACCAGUGGCGAAGGCGGCUCUCUGGUCUGUAACUGACGCUGAGGCUAGAAAGCGUGGGGAGCAAACAGG
rnacentral:rRNA from 1 species